rnacentral:lncRNA from 1 species
CAGGAUUCUCUCCAUGUUGGUCCUAGGCCUCUUCUAUAUGAGCAUACCUCUCAAAUCACUCUAGCAUUUCAGUGAAGUCUUUUGGGCAUUUUUUAUUGAGCAAGAAGAGGAGGUAAUUUUGGAGGAGUCUAGUCUUGAGUACAGUCAUUGCUAUUGAUUGAUCUAAGUUUCAUACCUCCAAAGUCAAAGCAUUAAGCCGAUUGAUGUAGUCUCCAAGAGACUCAUUUUCUCGCUAUUUAAUGCUGAUGAAAAGGU